GUGCUUGCUUCAGCAGCACACAUACUAAAAUUGGAAUAGUACAGAGAUGAGUAGCAUGGCGCCUGCACAAGAUGACACACAAACCCAUGAAGUGUUCGGUAUUUUU